GCCAGUGUGGUGUAGUGGUUUGAGCAUUGGACUAUUGACUUUGGAGACCCAGGUUCAAAUCUUGGCUCAGCCA